rnacentral:scRNA from 1 species
UCGUAGCGCGUUUCCCGCGUCAGGCAGUACCCCAUGAA